UACGGGGGGAGCAAGCGUUGUUCGGAUUCACUGGGCGUAAAGGGUGCGUAGGCGGUUCUGAAAGUCUGAUGUAAAAUCUCCAGGCCCAACCUGGAAACGGCAUUAGAAACUACAGGGCUAGAGGCUUGGAGGGGGAACUGGAAUGCUCGGUGUAGCAGUGAAAUGCGUAGAGAUCGAGCGGAACACCAGUGGCGAAGGCGAGUUCCUGGACAAGUCCUGACGCUGAGGCACGAAAGCCAGGGGAGCAAACAGG
rnacentral:rRNA from 1 species